rnacentral:rRNA from 1 species
GCCAGCGCCGAUGGUACUGCAUUUAUGUGGGAGAGUAGGUCGUCGCCAUCU